AAUAAGUGCAGUUUAACCGUUCAUCUUAUUUGAAAAAAUUUUAUGAUUAGUAUUUUUAUUAUUAUUAGUUGGUAAAACAUGAAUAAUAGUUUAUGUGUGACUAUUUUUUUAUAUGUUUUUCAAAUAAGACAGAUGGUUAAACGUUAAAUAUGGAUACCCACGACUAUAUUUAUU
rnacentral:pre_miRNA from 1 species